UUAUGCGAAAAGGCGAAGAAACGAGGGAGAUUGAAGCUUACCUGCCAGAGUAGCUCCGACGGCUCUUCGACGGUGAUGACACCAACAGAAAACCAGAGAGUCUUGAAUUCUCAGAUACCGAGAAAUAAACUCAGUUUUGCAGAGAGCGUGAGGUGGUUGCUGUAUGAGGCGUUGGUAUGCGAUGAGACUGUGUUGAUGCGUUAUGAAGAUUGAAGGACGAUUGUUCUGAUUGAUAAAAGAUUCAGAGAUGAAGGUUGAAGGUGAAGUUGAUGGGAGAAGAUGAUGAAUUGGGAGAGAAGGUGAAAGUGGAGUGGAAGUGAAAUCGAGAGCUGAAGGUUGAAGGUUGAAGAUGAAGAAUGAAGGUGGAAGUUGAAGUAUGAGCCCCAAAAAAACCUCCCCUGGGAUUAGAGGUGAGGUGAAGUUAUAUAGAGAUGAAGUUGAGGCUUGAAGAAUCUUGGCCAU